rnacentral:sRNA from 1 species
GGGUGAACUGGCUGUGGCAUUUGUCACCCCUUUGAUCACCAGUGUCUGUUUGGCUGCGGUGGCUGGCUAGGUGGGUGUUCCCCUCCUCACCGUUCCAAGUGUGCCCCCCAGGCAUUGUGCCUUCCCCAAGUUACGUGCUGGGUGGAAGAGGAGACCCGCCCCAGACAGAAGGAGUGUACUGUACUUCACUAGCUGUAAAACAGCAGAAGUCAAAGGUGUUAUCCCCUGUAGCUGAACAGUUAGGAUGGAUAA